ACAACUGUAAAGCAAAUAAAAAAGUUAUAGGAUACUGCUCUAAAAAAAAAAAGAGAUAAAGCCAGUAACUUUGGCUUUUCAGAAGUCGGUGCACCAGCAGAGCUGCAGCAGAGUCAAGUCAAGUAGUCUAGUAUAACAGCGAAUUCGCAUUGACGACUUCAAUUGCUUUAUUAUUGUGAUAUUAUUCAACUGAGAUCAGGGAAAAAUAAGAUGGGGGUGUUAUUAUGUUAAAUGUAUGAAGAAACUUACUUGCCAAGGUGUGACACACAUUUCCAACCAACCAAUGAAACCAAUUAAAGCAUGGUCGGCUUUCAUCAUUCGGUCCUGGACGAAAAAAAGCUCCAAUUGGUUGUAUAAAGCAUAAAAUAAUCGUCAUCAGUCCCAAUAUUGAGUGAGCAUGCCAGACAGCUUGCUUUAAUUCCACCCAAAUAGAAACCAAGCCGAAUACACUCUGAUGGCCCACCCAUGUGUGCUUAAAGUAUCGAGCGAAUAUUACACCCAGCGAUGCAGUGCC